CAACUUGAGAGUUUGAUCCUGGCUCAGAACGAACGCUGGCGGCAGGCCUAACACAUGCAAGUCGAGCGCACUCUUCGGAGUGAGCGGCGGACGGGUUAGUAAC
rnacentral:rRNA from 1 species